UCAUGUAAACCGUCUCCGGCGGCUUUCUCCCCCCCCUCCUCAAACCCCCGCACCCGGGGUGGGCGAAUAUCAAAGUAAAGCCAAUAAAGGCUGAGCAGCUCCUUCGGCGCCGUCGCACACUGAUGACAUCAUCGCCAGAGUCGCCAGAAGCAAGAAGAAUUGGAUCAUUUAGAUUUUCUCAGAUGAGCACCUUGGUCUCCAGCAUGGAGGCCCACUGAAGGAUGAAAACCCUGCAGAGAGGAGUUGACCAGGUGUCCUCCUGGUUCCAUAUGUGCUCCAGGACUUCCGACCUCUGCAGAGGGAAAACAGGUUGAACCACAUGCUGGAGGAGUACGGCACAGCCUCAGCGGGGUUCAAAGCCAUGCGUUACAGCAAGUCAUCAAACAGGUCUCUGAUAACCUUACGAAGCAGACAAUGAGGUCCGCGGCUGAGGGACGGCGG